rnacentral:rRNA from 1 species
UACGAAGGGGGGCUAGCGUUGUUCGGAAUUACUGGGCGUAAAGCGCACGUAGGCGGACAUUUAAGUCAGGGGUGAAAUCCCGGGGCUCAACCCCGGAACGGCCUUUGAUACUGGGUGUCUUGAGUUCGGAAGAGGUGAGUGGAAUUGCGAGUGUAGAGGUGAAAUUCGUAGAUAUUCGCAGGAACACCAGUGGCGAAGGCGGCUCACUGGUCCGAUACUGACGCUGAGGUGCGAAAGCGUGGGGAGCAAACAGGG